GCGUAAGCGCGCGCAGGCGGUUUCUUAAGUCUGAUGUGAAAGCCCCCGGCUCAACCGGGGAGGGUCAUUGGAAACUGGGGAACUUGAGUGCAGAAGAGGAGAGUGGAAUUCCACGUGUAGCGGUGAAAUGCGUAGAGAUGUGGAGGAACACCAGUGGCGAAGGCGACUCUCUGGUCUGUAACUGACGCUGAGGCGCGAAAGCGUGGGGAGCGAACAGGAUUAGAUACCCUGGUAGUCCACGCCGUAAACGAUGAGUGCUAAGUGUUAGAGGGUUUCCGCCCUUUAGUGCUGCAGCAAACGCAUUAAGCACUCCGCCUGGGGAGUACGGUCGCAAGACUGAAACUCAUAGGAAUUGACGGGGGCCCGCACAAGCGGUGGAGCAUGUGGUUU
rnacentral:rRNA from 1 species